rnacentral:rRNA from 1 species
AUUGAACGCUGGCGGCAGGCCUAACACAUGCAAGUCGAGCGGAUGAAGGGAGCUUGCGCCUGGAUUCAGCGGCGGACGGGUGAGUAAUGCCUAGGAAUCUGCCUGGUAGUGGGGGAUAACGUCCGGAAACGGGCGCUAAUACCGCAUACGUCCUGAGGGAGAAAGUGGGGGAGCUUCGGACCUCGCGCUAUCAGAUGGGCCUACGUCGGAUUAGCUAGGUGGUGGGGUAAAGGCGUACCAAGGCGACGAUCCGUAACUGGUCUGAGAGGAUGAGCAGUCACACUGCAACUGAGACACGGUCCAGACUCCUACGGGAGGCAGCAGUGGGGAAUAUUGGACAAUGGGCGAAAGCCUGAUCCAGCCAUGCCGCGUGUGUGAAGAAGGUCUUCGGAUUGUAAAGCACUUUAAGUUGGGAGGAAGGGCAGUAAGUUAAUACCUUGCUGUUUUGACGUUACCAACAGAAUAAGCACCGGCUAACUUCGUG